UUUGCGAGGGAGGAAAGUUAUGUCCUCUAAUCGCUGUGUCAAGCAGUUUAGAUAAAGAAUUGACGAUUUGUCGUGAGAUUAGGUUGAAACCUGCGUUGGUGACUGAAGAUCAUAAAAGAGGUUAAGAUACGGAUAUGAAUCCGUUCUCGAAUCCUCGCCUGAAAAUUCUUUUGGCCACGGUAGUUAGCUUGCACGUUGCUGCCUUUUUUGUCAGGCCGAUUUUCUCUCCAAAGAAGAGUAGCGGAGAAAAUUCGAGACUCAGAGUGCAGCCGGACUAUCUAAACCUAGCAGAAGACAGAGAGCCACAAACGCAACACGCGGUGCGCGAGGAUCGCGUCAGCUGAUCCUCGGUGAUCGUCAUGAGGAUUAGAAUUAGAAGGCCUCGAUAUUUUCGCAAGGGUGAUAUAUUCAUUGCUAUUGUAUUGGGAACCUUGAGCGGUUUCUACAUCUUUGAUUCUGUGCUUAGAGAAAACGCCACGAAGAUCAAGGAGCUAAAAACUGCACCGGACGCGACUGUUGAAACCUAAUUUUACACGAGUGGUACGUUCAUUUUUGAAAAGAUGUUGGAGCGGUAUAAAAAGUUUGCUAGCGGACCAACAGGCUUGGUGGUAGCUGGAAUAAGUAUAAUGACUAGUAUUAUAGUGGGAUGGAAGUGGGGCAUUUCACCGAUUUUAAAGAAACGGAAACAAGAGCAAGCCGCAGAAUUCGCUGAAUUCAUUUUUCAAGAGCGUAGGAAGAAGAAUGGCGAAAAUGUACAACAAUGAAUAUUUACAAUACAAAUCGGAUGUGUAAAUUAAAAUACCACUUCCCGAAGUUUCAGUUUGUUGUACGCUGUGUUGGGCGAAGGAAUGGUGCGCGGUGUACACUUGAGCAAAUAAAUAAAU